rnacentral:rRNA from 1 species
UGGGGAAUAUUGCACAAUGGGCGCAAGCCUGAUGCAGCCAUGCCGCGUGUAUGAAGAAGGCCUUCGGGUUGUAAAGUACUUUCAGCGGGGAGGAAGGCGAUAAGGUUAAUAACCUUGUCGAUUGACGUUACCCGCAGAAGAAGCACCGGCUAACUCCGUGCCAGCAGCCGCGGUAAUACGGAGGGUGCAAGCGUUAAUCGGAAUUACUGGGCGUAAAGCGCACGAAGGCGGUCUGUCAAGUCGGAUGUGAAAUCCCCGGGCUCAACCUGGGAACUGCAUUCGAAACUGGCAGGCUAGAGUCUUGUAGAGGGGGGUAGAAUUCCAGGUGUAGCGGUGAAAUGCGUAGAGAUCUGGAGGAAUACCGGUGGCGAAGGCGGCCCCCUGGACAAAGACUGACGCUCAGGUGCGAAAGCGUGGGGAGCAAACA